CCUCGGCGAGGGAAUAAUCUAAAUUUUAUUAAAGACAGGAGGCGAAUAUUUGCUUUACCUUCUUUACUGAAACCUCCAGCAGCAAAGAAACAGUUAACAGAACUUUUCAAAACAACCAAUCAGAACAAAGCAACAGUAGUAUAAAACCCCUAAGCAGGCUCUUCCACUUCCUCUUUCUUUGAUGAGGUCGAGCAGGAGAGCAAGGAAACCAACGAAUCCACCUUGUAGCAGACACAUCCGGAGAAACAAUCGUCAAGCCCAGAGAGAGAACAGAUUACACUGCAAGAAAGCAGAAAACAUUGUGAAAGUAAACUGUCAAGGCAAGAUGUCAUAUCCAUACAAUAUCACUUUCACAUCAGAAUACCUGAUGAAUAAACAAAGUCUACAGAUCUUAUGAAGACCUAGUAUGUACCUAAGCUAAAAAGGCAUUGAC